CCUACGGGAGGCAGCAGUGGGGAAUAUUGCGCAAUGGGCGAAAGCCUGACGCAGCGACGCCGCGUGAGGGAUGACGGCCUUCGGGUUGUAAACCUCUUUCAGCAGGGAAGAAGCGAAAGUGACGGUACCUGCAGAAGAAGCACCGGCUAACUACGUGCCAGCAGCCGCGGUAAUACGUAGGGUGCGAGCGUUGUCCGGAAUUAUUGGGCGUAAAGAGCUCGUAGGCGGCCUGUCGCGUCGGAUGUGAAAACUCGGGGCUUAACCCCGAGCCUGCAUUCGAUACGGGCAGGCUAGAGUUCGGCAGGGGAGACUGGAAUUCCUGGUGUAGCGGUGAAAUGCGCAGAUAUCAGGAGGAACACCGGUGGCGAAGGCGGGUCUCUGGGCCGAUACUGACGCUGAGGAGCGAAAGCGUGGGGAGCGAACAGGAUUAGAUACCCUGGUAGUCCACGCCGUAAACGUUGGGAACUAGGUGUGGGCGACAUUCCACGUCGUCCGUGCCGCAGCUAACGCAUUAAGUUCCCCGCCUGGGGAUACGGCCGCAAGGCUAAAACUCAAAGGAAUUGACGGCUGAGACGNGCGAGACGACGACGAGGAGAG
rnacentral:rRNA from 1 species